rnacentral:rRNA from 1 species
GAUGAACGCUGGCGGCGUGCUUAACACAUGCAAGUCGAACGAAGCAAUUUCUCACGAUCCCUUCGGGGUGACGAGUUAUUGACUGAGUGGCGGACGGGUGAGUAACGCGUGGGUAACCUACCUUGUACAGGGGGACAACAGUUGGAAACGACUGCUAAUACCGCAUAAGCGCACAGCUUCGCAUGAAGCAGUGUGAAAAGUUAUUUCGGUACAAGAUGGACCCGCGUCUGAUUAGCUAGUUGGUGAGGUAAUGGCCCACCAAGGCGACGAUCAGUAGCCGACCUGAGAGGGUGACCGGCCACAUUGGGACUGAGACACGGCCCAAACUCCUACGGGAGGCAGCAGUGGGGAAUAUUGCACAAUGGGCGCAAGCCUGAUGCAGCGACGCCGCGUGAGCGAAGAAGUAUUUCGGUAUGUAAAGCUCUAUCAGCAGGGAAGAUAAUGACGGUACCUGACUAAGAAGCACCGGCUAAAUACGUGCCAGCCGC